UUGAAGGAGCUGUCUAGCAUUCUAUAAGUGAAGCUUUGCUAGUGUUUCUGUGGUUAGUCUUUUCAUGCUACUAAAGAAGUACUUUGCCUUGAAUCCUGAGGACUAUAGAUAGAGGUUGCUGCAGUGCUGGGCAAUGCUAAUAUCCUGUCUCCAGGGUAACUACAGUAGAUUGCCAGGCAGUUAGUCUCUGCCAGUUUCACAAGGCAGUUCAACAAUGUUGUCAGUCGCUAUUCCAGAGAGCGUGUUGCAACAUUAAUAUUGGUCUAAUCCAGAGCAGUGGAUAUUUUGUGGAUCGAUGGUUGGGCUGGAAAGAAGACCUGGGAGCAGUGGAAAGAGGAUGCUGUCAGGACAGGGUAUGAGUGUAAAGCUGCAGACAGGCAGAUCUGGAAUUAUGGUUUGCAGCCCAAAGUAUAUCUGUAGAGCUUUGAAGAGUUCAUACAGUGCCCAGCAGGGAAUCAAGCCACAGCUAUUAAUCUCUCGUCUCCAGAAGUACUGACUUAUACAUAGCUAAUGUAUUGAUCACAGAGUAAUUGAACUGGUGCACUGGAACCUACCUGCCAGUAGGAGAAAUACUUCUGUAUUUUUUUCCUAUUGUGCAAUUUGAAAGCCAAGUCAAAAUGUCAUACUCUGGGAUUGUCUCAGCAAGCUUAAUGCUUUUUUCUGUCAUGACCUGAGAGAAUUAUCCACAGAGAGCAUUGCUAACACCAAAUGUGUCCAGGAUCCUGUCUCUUCUUUUGCUAGCAGGUACUUUAGUACAUCAGUUUGCUUUUGCAAUACAAUUUGCCUAAAGCCAUGUGAUUGCACUUAAUCGGGAUGCACACUUGAAAAUAUUGAUAAGCAUCUUGGCUGUAGUGGUAGAUACUUCUGCAGGAAGGGCUCCCUGCUGUGUUUCAAUCCAUCCUAGCAGAACUGGGGUGUAAGGCAAAAUCCUUGGAAUCCCAGGACACAGACCCUUAAUGCAGAAGCCGCCACAGAGCUGGUUGCAAGAGGCAGCAAAGCUCUACCAACAGUAUGUGACUGCUAAAAUCCCAAGUCUAUUUGUUGUAGUGUAUCAUAAUGUUAUUUCUCUCUGGUUCCCACUACCUAACAGCAAGUAGAGGGAACGACACACCAGUUAACUGUUUAUAAAUAUCCAGUAUGGUUUAGUUUUGCACAGCCAUCUGUUGACAGAUGACAAUCAGAGUAGGGGGGUGAGACUCAGCAUUUGAGGGGAGGAAGUCUUACCAGUGAAAGGGCUCCAGGGAGAGCCUGAUGGAUGUCAAUGUAUCACCUUUGGCUUCUUAAUGGCUGGAAAGGUGGGUGUGUUGGGGAGGUAUGUUUGGGCUGUAACUGCUGCUCAGACUACUUUGGAGUAUAGGGAUGGUUCCAGAGCUCAAAUGAGAUAUGUGAGAGCAGGCAUGAUGAACUCCUGGAGCAAUUGUAAAGAACAGUAUUUGUAGAGAAGGCAGAAAAAUGAAGGAGAAAAACACCUCUCCACAUAUCUACUACUGCAUUAUAUGGCUUGAGAUAAACUAGGAGAGGGUCACCUUUAGGAGGUCUCCAGAGGCUCCUGAUAGAUGUGUGCAGGGUGGUAUGAGAGAUCUAAAAUAAUGGAUACAUCAUGUCUUUCUUACAUUUAACCUAAAACUGGACUGAAGGGCCUUGUUCUCCUCUACCGUGUGCACUCUCUCUGCUUUAACAACUGGAAGAGACAGAAUUUUUACCUUCUUUUAUUUUCUUCUCCUCUGUCUUAAGGAACAAAUUGCUUAACCUGUUUCCCCCUGCAAAUAUGGGACAAAUUAAUUUAAAGCAAUGUGUUUGUGUGUGCCAUGGUGGAAAGAUGGGAGAAAAAAGAAAACAUUUCACAGGAAGAAUAGAGGAAGGGAAAAUUCCAUGUACUCUUUGGAAUAUGGCUUAGCAGCUUAGAAUCUCAGCAGUACAUUAACCAGGCCAAUAUUUAAUUAAGGCU